AAAGACUCAAUUUCUAGGUUUCCGUGUCCAACGUUUGACUGUCCGUCUUAUUUAAAAAAAUUAUGAAAAAAUUUAAAAAUAUAAGUCACACAUAAAGUAUUAAUCUUGUUUUAUCAUCUAACAACAAUAAAAAUACUAAUCAUAAAAAAAUUUCAUAUAAGACGGACAGUCAAACGUUGUACACAAAAACCCAGGAAUUGAGUCUUU
rnacentral:pre_miRNA from 1 species